GAAGCGAACGCGGUGAACUGAAACAUCUAAGUAACCGCAGGAAAAGAAAUCAACCGAGAUUCCCAAAGUAGUGGCGAGCGAAAUGGGAUGAGCCUUGCACUCUUUAUUUGUAUUGUUAGCCGAACGCUCUGGAAAGUGCGGCCAUAGCAGGUGAUAGCCCUGUAGGCGAAAACAGUAUGAAAGAACUAGGUGUGCGACAAGUAGGGCGGGACACGUGAAAUCCUGUCUGAAGAUGGGGGGACCAUCCUCCAAGGCUAAAUACUCGUGAUCGACCGAUAGUGAACCAGUACCGUGAGGGAAAGGCGAAAAGAACCCCGGGAGGGGAGUGAAAUAGAUCCUGAAACCGCAUGCAUACAAACAGUCGGAGCCUCGUAAGGGGUGACGGCGUACCUUUUGUAUAAUGGGUCAGCGACUUACGUUCAGUAGCAAGCUUAACCGUAUAGGGCAGGCGUAGCGAAAGCGAGUCCGAAUAGGGCGUUCAGUUGCUGGGCGUAGACCCGAAACCAGGUGAUCUAUCCAUGGCCAGGAUGAAGGUGCGGUAACACGUACUGGAGGUCCGAACCCACUAACGUUGAAAAGUUAGGGGAUGAGCUGUGGAUAGGGGUGAAAGGCUAAACAAACCUGGAAAUAGCUGGUUCUCUCCGAAAACUAUUUAGGUAGUGCCUCGUGUCUCACCUUCGGGGGUAGAGCACUGUCAUGGUUGGGGGGUCUAUUGCAGAUUACCCCGCCAUAGCAAACUCCGAAUACCGAAGAGUGCAAUCACGGGAGACAGACAUCGGGUGCUAACGUCCGGUGUCAAGAGGGAAACAACCCAGACCGCCAGCUAAGGUCCCCAAAUAUAGCUAAGUGGGAAACGAAGUGGGAAGGCUAAAACAGUCAGGAGGUUGGCUUAGAAGCAGCCACCCUUUAAAGAAAGCGUAAUAGCUCACUGAUCGAGUCGUCCUGCGCGGAAGAUGUAACGGGGCUAAGCUAUAUACCGAAGCUGCGGAUGCGUGCUUGCACGCAUGGUAGGAGAGCGUUCCGUAAGCCUGCGAAGGUGCGUUGAAAAGCGUGCUGGAGGUAUCGGAAGUGCGAAUGCUGACAUGAGUAGCGAUAAAGGGGGUGAAAGGCCCCCUCGCCGUAAGCCCAAGGUUUCCUACGCAACGUUCAUCGGCGUAGGGUGAGUCGGCCCCUAAGGCGAGGCAGAAAUGCGUAGCUGAUGGGAAGCAGGUCAAUAUUCCUGCACCAUUGUUAGAUGCGAUGGGGGGACGGAUCGCGGAAGGUUGUCCGGGUGUUGGACGUCCCGGUCGCUGCAUUGGAGAAGGCGCUUAGGCAAAUCCGGGCGCAGGAUUCAAGGGUGUGGCGCGAGCUCCCUCGGGAGCGAAGCAAUUGGAAGUGGUUCCAAGAAAAGCCUCUAAGCUUCAGUCUAACGAUGACCGUACCGCAAACCGACACAGGUGGGCGAGAUGAGUAUUCUAAGGCGCUUGAGAGAACUCGGGAGAAGGAACUCGGCAAAUUGGUACCGUAACUUCGGGAUAAGGUACGCCCUUGUAGCUUGACUGGCCUGCGCCAGAAGGGUGAAGGGGUUGCAAUAAACUGGUGGCUGCGACUGUUUAAUAAAAACACAGCACUCUGCAAACACGAAAGUGGACGUAUAGGGUGUGACGCCUGCCCGGUGCCGGAAGAUUAAAUGAUGGGGUGCAAGCUCUUGAUUGAAGUCCCGGUAAACGGCGGCCGUAACUAUAACGGUCCUAAGGUAGCGAAAUUCCUUGUCGGGUAAGUUCCGACCUGCACGAAUGGCGUAACGAUGGCCACACUGUCUCCUCCCGAGACUCAGCGAAGUUGAAGUGUUUGUGAUGAUGCAAUCUACCCGCGGCUAGACGGAAAGACCCCAUGAACCUUUACUGUAGCUUUGCAUUGGACUUUGAACCGAUCUGUGUAGGAUAGGUGGGAGGCUAUGAAACCGGAACGCUAGUUUCGGUGGAGCCGUCCUUGAAAUACCACCCUGGUUUGUUUGAGGUUCUAACCUUGGCCCGUGAUCCGGGUCGGGGACAGUGCAUGGUAGGCAGUUUGACUGGGGCGGUCUCCUCCCAAAGCGUAACGGAGGAGUACGAAGGUACGCUAGGUACGGUCGGAAAUCGUGCUGAUAGUGCAAUGGCAUAAGCGUGCUUAACUGCGAGACCGACAAGUCGAGCAGGUGCGAAAGCAGGUCAUAGUGAUCCGGUGGUUCUGUAUGGAAGGGCCAUCGCUCAACGGAUAAAAGGUACUCUGGGGAUAACAGGCUGAUACCGCCCAAGAGUUCAUAUCGACGGCGGUGUUUGGCACCUCGAUGUCGGCUCAUCUCAUCCUGGGGCUGUAGCCGGUCCCAAGGGUAUGGCUGUUCGCCAUUUAAAGAGGUACGUGAGCUGGGUUUAAAACGUCGUGAGACAGUUUGGUCCCUAUCUGCCGUGGGCGUUGGAUAUUUGAAGGGGGCUGCUCCUAGUACGAGAGGACCGGAGUGGACGAACCUCUGGUGUACCGGUUGUCACGCCAGUGGCAUCGCCGGGUAGCUAUGUUCGGAAGAGAUAACCGCUGAAAGCAUCUAAGCGGGAAACUCGCCUUAAGAUGAGAUAUCCCUGGAGGCUUGACCUCCUUGAAGGGUCGUUCGAGACCAGGACGUUGAUAGGUCGGGUGUGUAAGCGCAGUAAUGCGUUCAGCUAACCGAUACUAAUUGCCCGUAAGGCUUGAUCCUAUAACA
rnacentral:rRNA from 1 species